rnacentral:rRNA from 1 species
GCAUAUAACUAGGCGGAGGAAAAGAAAUUAACGAAGAUUUCCUUAGUAACGGCGAGUGAACGGGAAUCUAGUCCAGCGCUGAAUCCCUCGGUCACCAGACGGCCGAGGGACCUGUAGCGUGAAGGAGAGCCUAUCUGUUCGGUGUGUAUGACUUCGGAAGCUCCCUCGAACGGGACCCCAAAGCAGGUGCGAGGCCUGUGCCGAGGUAACGCCCGUCAGUAUGAGCCUCCGUAGAGUCGGGUUGCUUGGGAGUGCAGCCCAAAGCGGAAGGUAAACCCCUUCUAAGACUAAAUACUACCACGAGACCGAUAGCGAACAAGUACCGUGAGGGAAAGUUGAAAAGAACUUUGAAGAGAGAGUUCAAAAGGGCGUGAAACCGCUUAGAAGAAAACGGACGGAGCCGUCGUAGGCCUUCGAGAAUCAGUCGGGCGAUUCGUGAWCGAUGCCUCGGUCACUAGAGCCGUAAAGCCUAGCCGGGGUAUCAGAAAAUGAGUAGCGAUCGUCGGGCGCAUUUCUCGAGGGUUAGCGCUGUAACCGAUACGAAAGGCCAGCGAAGCGAUUGGAUUGAGGUCGAGAACGAUUCGCGUCGUUCUCGUUUCCAGUCUUUUCGUACGAAUCGUUGGACCGCAGUAUGUAUCGAAAGCCUAGCAAAUUUAUAUACGUCGGCCGCAAAGGCUCGUCUAGUAGCGGAUAGUCGGUCGAUUAGCUGGUACUUGCUCGCAGGUGCUAGCGACGUCCGGUCGGCUUAGAAGUUACUGGCGACGCAUCUCGACGUAUGGGCGUUCGCAGCGUCAGUGUCGGCCACCCGUCCGACCCGUCUUGAAACACGGACCAAGGAGUCUAACAUAUGCGCGAGUCAAUGAGUGGAAAACUCAGAGGCGCAAUGAAAGUGAACGCUAUCCGUCAAACGAUAGCUGAGGUACGAUCCUCGGUCUUCGAGGCGCAGUACCGUCCCAUCUCGACUGCUCGUCAGUGGGGUGGAGAUAGAGUGCAUACGUUGGGACCCGAAAGAUGGCGAACUAUGCCUGAGCAGAGCGAAGCCAGAGGAAACUCUGGUGGAGGUUCGUAGCGGUUCUGACGUGCAAAUCGAUCGUCAGACUUGGGUAU